UUAGUCUCGACCCGUCGCUGCCAAAUCAGUGACCGGUUUUGGCAGGCCGUCAA
rfam:Pseudomonas putida KT2440 complete genome.